CUUUGUCUUAUCAAGCGCUCACAAGUAUAGAUUACAGUGCUAUUAUACUGAACCACGUAUUGUGCUGCUUGGCAUAUAAAUUAUGGAUUCUGUUUGUUCUUAUUGUAUUUCCUGUGCUGGAGUUUAAAUAUCUAGCUAAUGAUAGGUCAAUUCACAGAUUGGUAUUGAUCAUUCUGGAACAUAAAACAUUCCUCAAAGCCUUGAGACAUCUCAGGAGACUUUUGCUGUCCCCAAGAGCCUUCAUAAGUCGUAUCAGGCUUUUGCUGCCCCCAUCCGCCUUCAGAAAUAUGAAGAGAAUUUUGCCGGCCCCAAGUGCCCGGAGAAGAAGCAUUAGCAGGCUUUUUCUCCCCCAAGCACCUUUAGACAACUUGGCCUGUCCCCAAGUUCCCUCAGAAAAACCAUCAGCAGGCUUUUGCUGCCCCCAAGUACCUUCUGAAGUAGUAUCCGCAUUUUGCUGCUCCCAAGCACCUUUAGAAAUCUCAGGAGACUUUUGCCAUCCCCAACUGCCCUGAGAAGUAUUGGCAGGGUUUUCCUCCCCCCAAGCACCUUUAGAAAUCUCAGGGGACUUUUGUUGUCCCCAAGUUCCCUGAGAACAAGCAUCAAGUGCCUUCUGAAGUAGUAUCGACAUUUUGCCGACCCCAAGAAUGACGGGCAGUAGACUUAUCUUCAGUUUAAAUAUCUAAACUGUUAUGUAAAGCAUAUUGAAACUGUAUUUCUGCAAUCUUCGAUCUUCAGCCAAACUGUUGGCUUCAAAGUUGGCUGAGAAGGGAAAUCCAAGCUCUUACGCAGAAAUGUGUAAGCCAUGCAUUACCAAUAUGAUGGAGUUCAAUUCUAUUAAAGUACCUGAAUGACGUCAACAGAGAUUUGGCUCAGCUUUUGCAACAAAGUGGAUUACAACUCACUGUAUGCUACAUUGCUACUGCAGACAUUCCAGAAUGAAUCAAAGCUGAUGAAAGUCUUUUCUACACUAAAUUAACAAGCACAAAUUCCAAAAGCAAAAGCGAAAAACUUAUUCAGCUGAUUUCAUUGUGAUAAUUCUAAGUCACCUAUGAUGACCUGGAAAUUGAACUAAGAGGCUGGCAGAAGCAGAAAUUCCAGAAAAAAUUCAACAAUUUUACAAGGAAGUUCAAGCAAAGUUCAGUUACCAGUCCUGUUUAUCUGCCCUCAAAAUUGUAUUAUGUCUCCAAGAACUAUAUUCAGUUGGCAGUCCUGUUCAUUAUACGGGCAUUUGCUCUUUCACUUUUAGUUUCAGUUUCAGUUUCAUGUCAACUAUAUUCAGUUUCAGUUGGUAGUCCUGUUCAUUACACACAACUACUUAUGUAUAUAAUCACGUACUUUCCUAAACAAUUCACUAACAAUCUUAACUC